rnacentral:lncRNA from 1 species
AUGUGUAUCGAUGUUUUAGUAAAGCAUACUAAAAAGAAAAGGAUCUUUUAUCCUUUUAUAUUCACUUAAGUUUACCUGCUAACCAUAACCAUAACCAUGGAUAUAAAAGUUAUACAUGUUAUACCCAACUAAAAGCAACAGGGCUCCUAACUUGGUUUUCACCGUUUUUCCAAGUUAUAUAGCCGAAAGCAUCAUCUCUACUUGUAUUCACACCCUUCUUUGACACAAAUGUAACCGUAAACCGCAUCCUGUCCCCCACAUUCUUGAAAACAAGCUGUUUCGGUUUCACAUCCACUUCAACACCUUGAGGUGCGUCCACCACCACAUCAUACACAGAUCCGGCUGACCCAACAUUAGUGAGCCUACGAGUGUAUCGAACCACUCGAGAUUUCCCAAACAUAAUAGAAAAGGAAGGGUAGUUCAAUUGCCCGGGGUCCCUAAAUCUCCAUGUACAAUUCAAGUUUGGACGAUUGACAACGGCUUCCACUUGCUUCAUGGUGUAGUCCAAAGAGCACAAAAAAGCAAUGUACUCUUUCGUUGAUAUAUCAUAGACAAGGCCGGGUGAGAGCGCUUUGUGUGGGUCAACAUGGCCAGCUCCAUGGGCCCAGGGGGUCGAAAACUGGCCAUGGGCUGCAUCACGUAGCAUUGAGUUGGUGUUGUCCACAGUGUACGCAGUGGUCAUGAGUGCGGACUUGAUGGCACUUGGGCUCCAUUUUGGAUGUGCUGAUUUGAGCAGGGCCGCUAGGCCGCUGAUAUGCGGGCACGACAUGGAUGUACCCGACAGUAUGUUGUACCGAGUUCUCCGGGUAUCAGCUUCUAACCCGGUAGGCCCAGCAACACCAGACCAUCCAGCCAAGAUGUUGACACCAGGUCCAAUCACGUCGGGCUUCAUUAUCUGUGGCGUUACCGUAUUAGGUCCCCUGGAGCUAAACGCGGCCACCACAGGCGAUGGCUUCACUCCCAACACCGUCCCACCAAAGCUCAGAACAGCCGUGGGUUUGGCCUCGGAUUUCAAGUAUUCUCUAAUCUCGUCGCCGACCUUUCUUCCCACAGCCACCGCAGGCAAGAUAUGGCUGUCCGCCACCAAUUCUUCUCCACUGGCCGCAGUGUUUGCGAGUAUCAUCCCGAUCCCGCCCGCUUGCUUCACAACCAUACCCUUUUCAGCCCGGGGGCUGACUCCUCUGUCACAAAAGACAACCUUACCACGUACAACAUC